AUUUUAGCACACUUUUGUUGAUGCAAAUGAUCACACCAUUUCUGGGAAUUUCUUUCGACGAAUUGGAGACUGGCAACAUGCUCGAGGUGACGCCUGGGACCGCAAGGCUCACAUCUGGCACAUUUUCGACAAUUCUGACGAACCCCAAGAAACUCUAAUCGGCAACUUGAAACGCGGGUUUGGUAACAAGUCAUACAGAUUGGCUGACAAGAUUGACGGCGUGACUCGACUAGUAAAAGGCAUCUUUGGACAAGUAAUCGGAAGUAUCGUAACUAAAAGCCGGAAUGAGAAUAAGAAACGAGCAUCCCAUCCCAUUCCAAGUCUAACCACCCCAACAAACCCUCAACCAGCACCUACAGUUCCAACUGGAGGCCCGUACUUCCCAACUACAUUUGUUUCAACAAGUUUGACUCCAAGCGCUCAACCUCCAAACAUAAAUUCAAUGUUCAAUCCUGAAAACAUUCCAUUCCCUCCAGGAACGACUGUUAAAGGAGAAAUUCCAGCUCCUAGAUAUAGCAUCGGAAAAUUGGUGUUCAUUGACAAUGAAGGAAAGUCUAUGGAUCUGACUCUUAAACAGGUCGUUGAUAUUGGAAAGUAUUUUGAUCGGAUGUUGAAAGAGUUUAAUUGAAUUGUUAUGUGAUUUCUUUCAAUAAAUAUUAUUCACUAUCUA